UACGAAGGGGGCUAGCGUUGUUCGGAAUUACUGGGCGUAAAGCGCGUGUAGGCGGUUGGGCAAGUCGGGUGUGAAAGCCUUGAGCUCAACUCAAGAAAUGCACUCGGUACUGGGUGACUAGAGGACCGGAGAGGAUAGUGGAAUUCCCAGUGUAGUGGUGAAAUACGUAGAGAUUGGGAAGAACACCAGUGGCGAAGGCGGCUAUCUGGACGGUUUCUGACGCUAAGACGCGAAAGCGUGGGGAGCAAACAGG
rnacentral:rRNA from 1 species